rnacentral:rRNA from 1 species
GCUACGGGGUGCUGCAGUGGGGGAUAUUGCACAAUGGGGGAAACCCUGAUGCAGCGACGCCGCGUGUGGGAAGACGGUCCUCUGGAUUGUAAACCACUGUCCCCAGGGACGAAGAUGACGGUACCGUGGUAGGAAGCUCCGGCUAACUACGUGCCAGCAGCCGCGGUAAUACGUCGGGAGCGAGCGUUGUCCGGAAUUACUGGGUGUAAAGGGAGCGUAGGCGGGGAUGCAAGUUGGGUGUCAAAACUACCGGCUCAACUGGUAGUCGCACUCAAAACUGCAGCUCUUGAGUGAAGUAGAGGCAGGCGGAAUUCCUAGUGUAGCGGUGAAAUGCGUAGAUAUUAGGAGGAACACCAGUGGCGAAGGCGGCCUGCUGGGCUUUUACUGACGCUGAGGCUCGAAAGUGUGGGGAGCAAACAGGAUUAGAUACCCCAGUAGUC